rnacentral:rRNA from 1 species
CAGCAGCCACGGGAAUACAGAGGGUGCGAGCGUUAAUCGGAUUUACUGGGCGUAAAGCGUGCGUAGGCGGCUUCUUAAGUCGGAUGUGAAAUCCCUGAGCUUAACUUAGGAAUUGCAUUCGAUACUGGGAAGCUAGAGUAUGGUAGAGGGUGGUGGAAUUUCCUGUGUAGCGGUGAAAUGCGUAGAUAUAGGAAGGAACACCAGUGGCGAAGGCGACCACCUGGACUGAUACUGACACUGAGGUGCGAAAGCGUGGGGAGCAAACAGGAUUAGAUACCCCGUAGUCCCUGUCUCUUAUACA